GACGAACGCUGGCGGCGUGCUUAACACAUGCAAGUCGAACGGAAAGGCCUGCUUUCCCUUGUGGAUUGCGGGUACUCGAGUGGCGAACGGGUGAGUAACACGUGAGUGAUCUGCCCCCAACUUGGGUAUAAGCCUGGGAAACUGGGUCUAAUUCCCGAUAGGACUGCAGGGUGGUGCCUGUGGUGGAAAACGAUUUUCUAGUGGUUGGGGAUGAGCUCGCGGCCUAUCAGCUUGUUGGUGGGGUAAUGGCCUACCAAGGCGGCGACGGGUAGCCGGCCUGAGAGGGUGGACGGCCACAUUGGGACUGAGAUACGGCCCAGACUCCUACGGGAGGCAGCAGUGGGGAAUAUUGCACAAUGGCCGGAAGCCUGAUGCAGCGACGCCGCGUGGGGGAUGACGGCCUUCGGGUUGUAAACUCCUUUCGACCGCGAGGAAGCCACCUGGUUGGAAGGGUGGUGACGGUAGUGGUAGAAGAAGCACCGGCUAACUACGUG
rnacentral:rRNA from 1 species